GGAAAGGUAGCACAGUGGUAGAGCGCUUGCCUUGCGUGCAUGAGGUCCUGGGUUCAAUUCCUCAGCACCA
rnacentral:tRNA from 1 species